GCGUGCGAUAAAUCAUUCAAGUUUCUGCCCUAUCAGCUUUGGAUGGUAGUGUAUUGGACUACCAUGGCAGUCACGGGUAACGGAGAAUUAGGGUUCGAUUCCGGAGAGGGAGCCUGAGAAACGGCUACCACAUCUACGGAAGGCAGCAGGAGCGAAAAUUGCCCAAUCCCGACACGGGGAGGCAGUGACGAGAAAUAACAACUCUUGGUUAUUCUAAGAAGUGUAAUGAGGAUAAUUUAAAACCCUUACCGAAAGCAAUUGGAGGGCAAGUCUGGUGCCAGCAGCCGCGGUAAUUCCAGCUCCAAUAGCGUAUAUUAAAGUUGUUGCAGUUAAAAAGCUCGUAGUUGAAGUUCUGGCUGCUUGACCCUCGAGCUCUGUAGCCGAGGGCUCAGCAGUCACCCGCUUGCAAAUAUAUGUUCGCCUUUAACCGGGCGGCUAUAUGAGUAAGCAUUUUACCUUGAGAAAAACAGAGUGUUCCAGGCAGGUUUGCCCGGAAUGCAUUAGCAUGGAAUAAUAGAAUAUGACUGAAGUCGAUUUAUUGGUUUGAGGCUUUAGUAAUGAUUAAUAGGAACAGUCGGGGGCAUUGGUACUUGUCAGUCAGAGGUGAAAUUCUAGGAUUUGACAAAGACUAACAAAUGCGAAAGCAUUUGCCAAGGAUGUUUUCAUUAAUCAAGAACGAAAGUUAGGGGAUCAAAGACGAUCAGAUACCGUCCUAGUCUUAACUAUAAACUAUACCGACUCGGAUUCAGAUGAAUCAUAAAGUUCAUUUGGGACCGUAGGAGAAAUCAAAGUUUUUGGGUUCUGGGGGAAGUAUGGUCGCAAGGCUGAAACUUAAAGGAAUUGACGGUUUUGCACCACCAUGGAGUGGAGUCUGCGGCUUAAUUUGACCCAACACUGGGAAACUCAUCAGGGCAAGAAGAUUGUAGGAUUGACAGAUUGAGAGUUCUUUCUUGAUUGGUCUAGUGGUGGUGCAUGGCCGUUCUUAGUUGGUGGAGUGAUUUGUCUGGUUAAUUCCGUUAACGAACGAGACCUUAACCUGCUAACUAGUACACCGAUGACAAAUCGGUGAUACUUCUUAGAGGGACUAUGUGAUGUAAUCACAUGGAAGUUUGAGGCAAUAACAGGUCUGUGAUGCCCUUAGAUGUCCUGAGCUGCACGCGUACUACAAUGGUGCUUUCAUCGAGCUUUUCCUGAUCCGAAAGGAUUUGGGUAAUCUUUUUAGUGAGCACCGUGCUUGGGAUAGAUCUUUGUAAUUAUGGAUCUUGAACUAGGAAUUCCUAGUAAGCACGUGUCAUCAGCACGU
rnacentral:rRNA from 1 species